AAGAUCUGAAAAAUCAUGAGGUGGACUCUGGUGCACUGUAGUUAAAAUUGGCAGUAGUUUUUAUUGUAGAAAUCACUCAUAUUGUUUUACACUUUCCAUCUCAAAAUUCUUUGGAAAAUUUUAAUUAUUAGUGAGACAAGCAUAGAUGGGUACCAAAGUAGGUUUUUAACUUCUUGUUGUAGUCAUUAAAGCUGCAACACACAUUAAGGCACAAAGAUAUCUUAGAGCCUAGGUGCUAAGUGCAAGGAUGUGCCUGUAGAGGUGAGGAACAAAAGAAAAAG
rnacentral:misc_RNA from 1 species